GACACAGCAGUUUCUAGCUUCAGAUAAGAAGAGCUAGUCGUUUCGAAGAGUUGAAAAGUCGAAAUAGUCCAUUCAUUGCGAUAAGGAAGUACCUGCGACACCAUGCGAAUACCUCCUUUUCUUCCGUUGUCAAAACCUUCAAGCUUCCUCAUUCAUGGGCAGGAAGCGGCUUGCGGGAGUACGAGGGCUGCUGGGUGAUGAUGGGGCAGAAGCGUGGUCUCUGCUAUUGUGGAGCGAAUGUCUUCGGCUGCGUCUUCUCUCCAGACCUCGCUUCUCGUUGGUGCCAUCGACGCUGGCACGCCGGCGGUCCUUGCGGACGCUGGGAGGAAGUUGGGUUUCCUCGUCUCCAUCCUCAUGGCGAAGUGUGAUCUGUAUAGAAAGCAUUACAAAAAGACUGAGCAAAUAAAGGCAACCCUGGUACACAUUUCCAGCUGCUGUAUGAGUGUUUGAGAAGUCGUGUGACCCACGACACACAUGGUCAUCAACAUUACAUUAAGACUGGUUGGUAAUGUAAACAUUUGGCGGUUUAGGCUUUCUGACCUCGUAGAUGUUGAACUGUUCUACAAGGUCGAGGUCCGUGCCUUUCCUGCUCAGGUGUCUCUGGGCCACUGCUUCGACACCCUGCUCCUCCAGACAGUCGACCAUGUCAUAGUACGAGUCCUGAUCGGGGAGGCCUGCCAGCGUCUGAAACACAAACCAUUCAAUAAGAAAAUGGUUAGAUAUAACCUUGGCCCUGCAAUAUCUUGGAUUAACUGUGAAAGAAGAAAGUGAAUUGAAACAAUAAAGAAGGAACGGCUAAGAGACAGACAGGGAGUAAAAUAACUUUUGUUUUGUUUUACCCAAGAAAACAUUGAAAUGGAAUCAGUAACCAGAUAUGCUAUGCCAAUAAACUUCAUUCAUAUAG